rnacentral:misc_RNA from 1 species
AUAACUUCAAGAGAUUACCUACCAAGAUAAUAAUCCAUAAGGACAUGGAAUAUGAUGAGUUUAUGUUUCAUCUUUAAAUCAACCAGAGAUACAAAUUCUGAUCACCUGCUUCCCUAUUUGUGGGGACAUCACAGCAUAAACUUUCUGCUUCUCUACGGUCUUAUUUAAAUCCUGGUCUCUCCCUGAGGUUCCCAUAACAAAGGGCACUCCGACUUUAAUGUAAAAUAAAGAGAUAAGAAGUCAACAAAGUGUACAUAAUCAACAUGUGUAAGACCUAUAAAUAGUUCUAAAAGCCACUCCAUCAACAUUGCUGUUCUUGUCCAUCUUCAAAUAUUGUUGUUUAAAACCGUCUAGCCAGAGGUUUGGGUUCUCAGCAAAGGCAAUUACCACAUACAACGCAAGAGAACGAAUAAAAGAAAGAGAGAGAGAGAGAAGGAAAAUAAAGUCAGUUUAGUGUUUCAUUUUGACAUAAACGGUUAGUAAAAUAUUUCCUUCAGCAAAUUAGAGAAAUCCAAUUCAAGCAUGGAAAAUACUAAAUUUUAAAAGUGAAAUCCAACUCAUGUUUGGAAAAGGACUAGUAAUGAUGCAUGCAUAUAAAGGACUCUCCUGCAUCAAAUUUAACAUCUCAGUCUGCGCGUGUGUGUGGAGAUUUGGGCAUUCACCAUGGCUUUCUCACUGGGAAACUCUUUUGCUGCGUUAGAUGAUGAAAAGGCAUUGAAACUGGUCUAAGCCGCUAGUGAUGAAGUCAGUAAUUCAACUGAGAGACGUCCAAUUAAAAUAUGCAAUUUGUAAAAAUAAUAUACAUAA